rnacentral:rRNA from 1 species
AACUUAUACCUUACUGUUGCCUCUGCGCAUGCUGGCCCCCUCGGGGCCCCCUGGAGACAGGGAGCAGGCACGCCGGCGGCCAAGUUAACUCUUGUUUUUACACUGAAACUCUGAGAAAAAACACAAAUGAAUCAAAACUUUCAACAACGGAUCUCUUGGUUCUGGCAUCGAUGAAGAACGCAGCGAAAUGCGAUAAGUAAUGUGAAUUGCAGAAUUCAGUGAAUCAUCGAAUCUUUGAACGCACAUUGCGCCCUCUGGUAUUCCGGAGGGCAUGCCUGUUCGAGCGUCAUUUCAACCCUCAAGCACUGCUUGGUGUUGGGGCACUGCUUUUACCCAAAAGCAGGCCCUGAAAUCUAGUGGCGAGCUCGCCAGGACCCCGAGCGCAGUAGUUAAAACCCUCGCUUUGGAAGGCCCUGGCGGUGCCCUGCCGUUAAACCCCCAACUUUUGAAAAUUUGACCUCGGAUCAGGUAGGAAUACCCGCUGAACUUAAGCAUAUCAAUAAGCGGAGGAA